UGGGACAGAAAUAUAUGAUGGAUAGAGGACGAUACGGACAGGACGGGUCCGAAUGGGAUAUGACGAGACGGGUCGGGACGGGACGGGUUUGGACGAGACAGGAAGGGACGGGUCGGGGCGAGACGGAAAGGGACGGGACGGGUUUCUCAUUCCAAACUAUAUGUAAAAUAAUUCAAACUAAAGCCAAAUACAAAUCCGAUUUAACAUCUCUAAGCAAACAAUUAGAAAUAUUUUGAUUAUUUUAAAAAAUAAACACGUAAUAUCAUUUAACAUUUUCAUUUUCAUUAUUUUAAAACUAUAUUAAGUAAACAGUAUCUAUAUUUUACAACUGUAUGCCUAUGUAUAGUUUUUCAAAUAAACUUAUGUAACAAACUUUUACCAAAAUCGUAUCUACAUAAGAAAUGGUAGUUUUGCAAAAAUAACCCCGCACGUACGUGCGGGUCCAUCACUAGUACACAUUAAACCCAUGAAAGAGUUACAUUAAAACCCAAAUCAUAUUAUAGAAUUAUUUAUAUCUUUGUCGGCAUUUAUUUAAAAGAAAGUAAACUGUUAGAAAAGAAAAAAGAAAAAAAAAAGUAAAUCAUUAUAAAACGAUGUCAUCCUUCACGUCACUUCUAAUGUGGUAUUCACAUUAUGGUCUCCUAGCCGAUUUCCCACUCCGUUUAUCCGAUCGUUUAGAGUCGUCG
rnacentral:lncRNA from 1 species